AUUGAACGCUGGCGGCAGGCUUAACACAUGCAAGUCGAGCGAGCGGCGGACGGGUGAGUAAUGUCUGGGAAACUGCCUGAUGGAGGGGGAUAACUACUGGAAACGGUAGCUAAUACUGCAUACCAUCAGAUGUGCCCAGAUGGGAUUAGCUAGUGGGUGGGGUAAUGGCUCACCUAGGCGACGAUCCCUAGCUGGUCUGAGAGGAUGACCAGGCCCACUGGAACGGAGACGCGGUCCAGACUCCUCCGGGAGGCAGCGGUGGGGAAUAUUACACAAUGGGAGCAAGCCUGAUGCAGCCAUGCCGCGUGUGUGAAGAAGGCCUUCGGGUUGUAGAGCACUUUCAGCGAGGAGGCGUUACUCGAAGAAGAAGCACCGGCUAACUCCGUGCCAGCAGCCGCGGUAAUUC
rnacentral:rRNA from 1 species